AACGCAUAUUGCACUCUCUGGUAUUCCGGUGAGUACGUCUGUUUCAGAAUCAGAAAUUCAAUAUCAAAAUUCUUUUUUUUUGAAAAGAGAAUUAAUGGAUUUGGGCUUUUGCUAAAAAAAUUUUUUUUGGCUUGCCUGAAAUAUUCUGAGCCAAAGCAGAGAAUUUUUACUGGCUUUAAUUGGCGUAAUUAGUUGGUACCUUUUUUUUUUAAAAAAAGUCCAUUUUUUUUCGCCUUGUCGGUUCUUUUUGUUUCUUGCUUUUGAGCCCAAAAUAAAUGGAAGAGAAAAAAAAUUUUUUUUUCUCCACAACUUGAUCUGAAAUCAGAUGGGAUUACCCGCUGAACUUAA
rnacentral:misc_RNA from 1 species